UCAAACUUGGUCAUUUAGAGGAAGUAAAAGUCGUAACAAGGUUUCCGUAGGUGAACCUGCGGAAGGAUCAUUAUUGAAUUUGUAGUUUUCUUUCAAAGAAAGCUCUCCUUCUCUAUCCAUAUACACCUGUGCACUACAAUAGAGUUGUUAAAAAAACUCUAAUACCUUUUUUUUUUAUAAACAAUGUUUAAUAGAAUGUUACAAGUACUCGUUGUAAUGACGAGGACAACCUUAAUAAAACUUUCAACAACGGAUCUCUUGGCUCUGGCAUCGAUGAAGAACGCAGC
rnacentral:misc_RNA from 1 species